AACGGGAUCUCUUUCGGGAGACGACCGUGGCGGACGGGUGAGUAAACACGUGGAGAACCUGCCCACAGGGCGGGGGGAUAACCCUGGGAAACCGGGGCUAAUACCGCAUGAGCUUGGCUGGUGAUAGGCCGGUCAAGGAAAGGGCCUCGUAUGAGGUCGCCUGUGGAGGGCUCUGCGGCCUAUCAGCUAGAUGGUGGGGUAACGGCCUACCAUGGCGAUGACGGGUAGCUGGUCUGAGAGGACGAUCAGCCACACGGGGACUGAGACACGGCCCCGACUCCUACGGGAGGCAGCAGCAAGGAAUAUUCCACAAUGGGCGCAAGCCUGAUGGAGCGACGCCGCGUGGUGGAUGACGCCCUUCGGGGUGUAAACACCUUUUCUCAGUGACGAAGCAAGUGACGGUAGCUGAGGAAGAAGCACCGGCUAACUACGUGCCAGCAGCCGCGGUAAGACGUAGGGUGCAAGCGUUGUCCGGAGUUACUGGGCGUAAAGGGCGCGUAGGCGGCGUGUCGCGUCGCACGUGAAAGCCCCCGGCUCAACCGGGGAGGGUCGUGCGAAACGGGCAUGCUGGAGGCAGCGAGAGGCGAGUGGAAUUCCCGGUGUAGUGGUGAAAUGCGUAGAUAUCGGAAGGAACACCAGUGG
rnacentral:rRNA from 1 species